UACGUAGGGUGCGAGCGUUGUCCGGAAUUAUUGGGCGUAAAGAGCUUGUAGGCGGUCUGUCGCGUCUGCUGUGAAAAUCCGGGGCUCAACCCCGGACUUGCAGUGGGUACGGGCAGACUAGAGUGUGGUAGGGGAGACUGGAAUUCCUGGUGUAGCGGUGAAAUGCGCAGGUAUCAGGAGGAACACCGAUGGCGAAGGCAGGUCUCUGGGCCACUACUGACGCUGAGAAGCGAAAGCAUGGGGAGCGAACAGG
rnacentral:rRNA from 1 species